UACGAAGGGGGCUAGCGUUGUUCGGAUUUACUGGGCGUAAAGCGCACGUAGGCGGAUUGUUAAGUCGGGGGGUGAAAUCCUGGAGCUCAACUCCAGAAUUGCCUUCGAUACUGGCUUUCUAGAGGCUGGAAGAGGUUAGUGGAAUUCCCAGUGUAGAGGUGAAAUUCGUAGAUAUUGGGAAGAACACCAGUGGCGAAGGCGGCUAACUGGUCCAGAUCUGACGCUGAGGUGCGAAAGCGUGGGGAGCAAACAGG
rnacentral:rRNA from 1 species